CCUACGGGUGGCAGCAGUGGGGGAUAUUGCACAAUGGGGGAAACCCUGAUGCAGCGACGCCGCGUGGGCGAAGAAGUAUUUCGGUAUGUAAAGCCCUAUCAGCAGGGAAGAAGAAAUGACGGUACCUGAGUAAGAAGCACCGGCUAAAUACGUGCCAGCAGCCGCGGUAAUACGUAUGGUGCAAGCGUUAUCCGGAUUUACUGGGUGUAAAGGGAGCGCAGGCGGCACGGCAAGCCUGAUGUGAAAGCCCGCGGCCCAACCGCGGGACUGCAUUGGGAACUACCGGGCUGGAGUGCAGGAGGGGCAGGCGGAAUUCCUGGUGUAGCGGUGAAAUGCGUAGAUAUCAGGAGGAACACCGGUGGCGAAGGCGGCCUGCUAGACUGCAACUGACGUUGAGGCCCGAAAGCGUGGGGAGCAAACAGGAUUAGAUACCCGAGUAGUC
rnacentral:rRNA from 1 species